GACGAACGCUGGCGGCGUGCUUAACACAUGCAAGUCGAACGGAAAGGCCCUGCUUUUGUGGGGUUCUCGAGUGGCGAACGGGUGAGUAACCCGUGAGUAACCUGCCCUUGACUGUGGGAUAACUUCAGGAAACUGGGGCUAAUACCGGAUAGGAGCUCCUGCUGCAUGGUGGGGGUUGGAAAGUUUCGGCGGUUGGGGAUGGACUCGCGGCUUAUCAGCUUGGUGGUGGGGUAGUGGCUUACCAAGGCUUUGACGGGUAGCCGGCCUGAGAGGGUGACCGGCCACCUGGGGACUGAGAUACGGAGCAGACUCCUACGGGAGGCAGCAGUGGGGAGUAUUGCACAAUGGGCGGAAGUCUGAUGCAGCAACGCCGCGUGCGGGAUGACGGCCUUCGGGGUGUAAACCGCUUUCGCCUGUGACGAAGCGUGAGUGACGGUAAUGGGUAAAGAAGCACCGGCUAACUACGUG
rnacentral:rRNA from 1 species